AAAAAUAUUUGGUACACCCAUGGGGCUGCUAAAUACUUUAUCCAUCCAAAGUGUGUCCAUUUAUUCCCUCUUGAACUUGCUACCGUCCACCCAGGCAGUAGCAGCUGGUUUGUCUGUUCAUCGAAUACAGGACACAUCUUCCUCCACUGUCUGAACAACUAAGGAUGGAAGAUGGAUUUCACUGAAGGAGCACAUGGAGAAUGGGGUAUGGUGGGGGUGGGUGGGAUUAGCAGGUCCUGGACCUAUGGAAAAGAGGAAGCUAUUGCCAAAAGGUAGUCGGCCGCGUUUAAUCUCUCUGAAUGCCUUCGCUCUUCCAACCUCAGGCCUGUGAGUGAUCACGAAUAGUGGGGUAGAGGAAAUGAAUGGGCCAGGCAAGACUUCCAACAAGUAAAUAUGACACACAGAAAAACAUGCAAUUAGCGGAGGUUAGUGAAUGCCUUUCAAGUCCCCAGUGCAGCAGUUAAGGGUGGAGUUUUCUCCCUCAUCCCGGAACUGUCUGUCAAAAUCCUUGAAGUGAUAACGUGACACGUCUCUCCCACUAACCCUCCCUCACCAGAACAAAAAAAAGGGUCUUUGCAUGUGGCCUCCCUACAGUAUGUUCCUGUUCCUGAAAUUCUUUCCAUUCAACCUUUGUCUGCACCUCAGAAUUGAAGGGGCCUGUAGCCCUGGCUUCUCUGGGGCUCAGGCCCAGAAAUAGGUUCUUAGGCACGUCCUGAUCCACAGAACAAAGUUGCUGGCCCCUCAAGGUGAGAGGCAGGCUUGCUCACAGGGUCUUCUUUUGACCACAAUGCUUGCACCCUCUGUGGCUAGAUACAUCUCACACUCAGGGUCCAGGGAGAAAGGCAGGCAAAGAUGGUACUUUCUGAAGCAAGGUCCAUUUAGCAUUGGCUAGACCAAACAUGGGGUGGGCCAUCCCCUGCAUCCCGAUGCCUGCUGUGUGACUACCCUCACAUCACCACAUCUCCUGCUAGCAUCGUACAGAGACUGCCACUGAUAUUGUUCAGGUUGUGUCUGAAGAGGAGAUUAAGAAGUGAGAAGCCGAAGCAACUCCUAGGGGAAGAGAGAAAAAGAAACAACCAGAAAGCGAGCCCCUCUUCGGAGGUGGCACCAGGCAGAAGCAAUUUCCAGAGUCAUUCAGCUCACUGUAGCAGUCUUGGUGACCUGGCUGGCCAGUAUGUCCCUGGCACAAAUGGUUUCCUUUACUUCAAUUUUUUUUUCCUCUAAUGAAAGAAGGCUUAAUUAUGCUCUGUUUCUAUUUUUUCAACACUUAUGGGGCAACCCCAAUUUCAUUAAAACAAAACCGAGAACAAACCC
rnacentral:lncRNA from 1 species